GAGAGAGAAAGUAAAAAAGACAAAGGUUUUUUAGAGAGAGAAAACUGAUGGUAACUGAACUAUUUUGCCCUAAAAAGGCUCACCUUCUCAUAAAAUUCCAUAUUCCAUUUAGGAAGAGAACAACAACAAUUCACUAAACAACAAAAAGCAGCUCCUCCUCUCGCCACGUUACGACAACGUAGCCAUGAACGCUCUUUCAUAACUCAGAGCUUGGCUUUUAAUUGAAUCUAUUGACUAUUUUCUUUCUUUCUUUCUCUCUGUCACUGAACCAGAGAAGACCCAGAAAACCUAGAAAAGUCUUUAUAUGCAUAGAGGGAUUGAACCGGCAAUCUUUGGAACUGUCUUCGGAUUCCAUGUGGGUUUUUGAUCAAUUACAAAACCCAGUAAGGAAUUUCUUGUUCUUGGUUUGCUUAGCUAGUUUUUGAAUACUGUAUUCGUCCUCUGUAAAUUGGGGCUGAAUUGAUCUUGUAUUUGGGUACCUCUUGAGCCUUUUCUUUUUGAGGGGUUAUGUAUCUGUUCAGUUUUUUCUAGAUCGGGUAUUUCUUGUUACUUUUAUCAUACUCUGUUUAUUUCACCUCUUCUUCUCCUUCUUCCUGCAUCUGUGAUCUAUCAAGUUUUUGUCUGAAUUCUAAAUUCUUCCGUGAAGUAAUUUUCCUGAUCUCAUAAAUUAUAUUCAAUCUUUGUUCCUUUUUGUUCCCACAGCUAUUGUGCACCAUUGGAUCAUCACCAGUAACAUCAUCACCUUUCCAUUUUUCCCCCAUUAUGUCACUCUCAACAGGCAUAGAGUCACCUUAUCCCUGGCUUGGAGAGUUAAAGUCUGAGGAGAGGGGAUUGUAUUUGAUCCAUUUAUUGCUCACUUGUGCAAAUCAUGUCGCUGCUGGUAACCUUGAAAAUGCAGAGAUUGCCCUUGGGCAGAUCUCGCAACUAGCCUCUGCAGAUGGUGAUACCAUGCAGCGUAUUGCUGCUUAUUUUACCGAGGCACUUGCUCAUAGGGUCAUCAAAUCUUUGCCUGGUGUCUACAGGGCCCUUAAUGCUACUAAAAUAACUUUGGUUUCUGAGGAAAUUCUAGUUCGCAAAUUGUUUUUCGAGAUGUUACCUUUCUUGAAAGUGGCUUUUGUGCUUACAAACCAAGCUAUAAUUGAAGCCAUGGAAGGGGAGAAGAUGGUUCAUAUAAUUGAUCUUGAUGCAGCUGAACCCGCACAAUGGCUUGCGCUUCUUCAAGCUUUAAGUGCAAGGCCUGAGGGACCUCCCCAUUUGAGAAUUACAGGGAUUCAUCAACAGAAAGAGGUACUGGAUCAAAUGGCUCAUAAACUGAUUGAAGAAGCAGAAAGGUUGGAUAUUCCAUUUCAGUUCAAUCCCAUUGUUAGCAAAUUAGAGAAUCUUGAUAUUGAAAAGUUGCGUGUUAAAACUGGGGAGGCUCUAGCAAUUUGCUCAGUUCUCCAAUUGCAUCCUUUUCUGGCUUCGGAUGAUGAAUUGAGGAAGAGAUCUCCAGUGCCGUUGAAGAAUUCAAAUGGAAUUCACUUGCUAAGAGUCCUCCAAAUGAACCAAGGUACAUUUGGGGAGUUGCUUGAGAAAGAUAUGGUAAAUGGAUAUAGCCCAAGUCCUGACUCUACCUCAUCAUCGCCACUAUCUUCAACUGCUUCAGUGAAGAUGGAUUACUUUCUCAACAUGCUUUGGAGUUUGUCACCAAAGCUCAUGGUUGUAAUGGAGCAAGAUUCUAAUCAUAACGGAUCGACUCUCAUGGAGAGGCUAUUGGAGGCAUUGUACUCUUACGCAGCAUUGUUUGAUUGUUUGGAAUCCACUGUAUCAAGAACAUCCAUGGAGAGACUCAAGAUGGAGAAGAUGCUGUUUGGGGAGGAAAUAAAGAACAUUGUAGCAUGUGAGGGAGCUGAGAGAAAGGAAAGACAUGAAAAGCUCGAGAAGUGGAUUCAGAGGCUUGAUUUGGCUGGGUUUGGACUUGUGCAUUUGAGCUACUACGGUAUGUUGCAGGCAAGGAGGUUGUUGCAAGGAUAUGGUUGUGAUGGUUACAGAAUUAAGGAAGAAAAUGGGUAUGUUGUAAUUUGCUGGCAAGAUCGGCCUCUUUUUUCUGUAUCAGCAUGGAGGUGUAGAAAGUAACAGCUAAACAUUCAUCACAAAGUGUUCAGAGUUUUAUGGAAGAGUUUUGUUCAUCUGCAAAUCUAUACUUUUAGAAUGAUUUGAAGGCCUCUUCAUGCACAUAUCUGCUCCUGACAUAUUUUAUUCAUAUCAUUUUACUUCUGAUCAAAAUUGAAACUCUAGUGCUGAUCUUUGUUAAGGCUUGUGCUUUCCACAACGUUUGAUCUCUGGAUGAAGUCCAAUGGACCUCCUUGAUUUCUAGGCAUGAAUUUUGUCAAUGUUAUAUGAUGAUUAAUCUGAAACUUGGAGAACAAUCUUUUUCAUGUAGCUUGAUUUUUUACCGUUGGAAGUGGCUAACUAGCAAAUUAAUCAUCCUUGCAAUAUAUGUUUCUCGAGUGUAUAUUGAUAUUGCAAACCAAUUUGGAUUAUUGAUUUUCUGUUUGUUCCUAGCUUCAUUUCUGAGAUAAGCAUAGCUUUCUUAUGGCU
rnacentral:misc_RNA from 1 species